rnacentral:rRNA from 1 species
UACGUAGGGUGCAAGCGUUAAUCGGAAUUACUGGGCGUAAAGCGUGCGCAGGCGGUUCGUUGUGUCGGCGGUGAAAGCCCCGGGCUCAACCUGGGAAUGGCCGUUGAAACUGGCGAACUGGGAGUGUGGCAGAGGGGGGUGGAAUUCCGCGUGUAGCAGUGAAAUGCGUAGAGAUGCGGAGGAACACCGAUGGCGAAGGCAGCCCCCUGGGCUGACACUGACGCUCGAGGCACGAAAGCGUGGGGAGCAAACAGG